GAAGUCUGUUCCAAAACCAAAGAGUUCCAAAACCAAGGUGCACUUUCCCAUAGACAGUAAUGCAAAAUGGAUUAAUCGUUCCAAACUUUUAAAAACAACCUCUAAAACAGCAAUUUAACAUGAAUUUUACUAUUUUAUGAGACCAUUGAUCCAUAAAAUGAAAGCAAUAAACAAUGUACUGUACUAUAAAAUAAAUAAAACAGUAUUGUAGAUGAU